UNGGAAAGCUGCGGAGAAUUAUUUAAGC
rnacentral:piRNA from 1 species